GUUCGUUUCUAGUGGAAACCAGAAAGCAACAAAAUUGACCGCCGCACCAGAAUCCAGAGGGUUCGCUUCCCUGUUUCCUCUCCCACCGCCGCCACCCGCUGCACCUCGGCGCCGGCGACCUGACCGCCGGCCGGCGAGGGGCACGACGAGCCAGGCCUCUCCUUCCACCCAAGUCCUGCUCUCUCUCUCUCUCUCUCUCUGUGUGUGUGUGUGUGUGUGUGGGAGUUGCCGUGUCGGUGCCGCCCUCUACUGGUACGGGUGUCUGGCGUGGAGCGCAGAUCCACCCCGGCCGCACCUGGAUCGAUCUCUUCGUUUGUUGGUUCCUUCUUAUCGCGCAAGAUUAGCAUUCCCGUGGUGCCGUUGCACUCUCUUUCUCAAAAAUUUGAGGGGUUGAGCUAAACCCCCAAUCCAUGCCCAGCUGUCACUUCGUCCCUGCAAGGUUUCUCUAGGAUUUUGCAGAAACAGCCAUGUGGAGGCUCAAGCAGUUCAUCCCCAAGGAACAGCCUAGCGGCCUCGAGGGCCGCACCAUCGAUGUCGGCAAUGUCAAGGUGCACGUCCGGGACGCCAUUGCUGAGGGCGGGUUUUCCUGCGUGUACGCCGCCCGGGACAUGGUCAACCCCGCGAAGCAGUACGCGCUCAAGCAUGUGAUCGUGCAGGAUGAGGAGUCAAUGGAGCUGGUCCGGAAGGAGAUCACGGUCAUGAGGUCGCUCAAGGGGCACCCUAAUGUGGUUAUGCUGGUCGCGCACGCAAUACUUGAUAUGGGCCGGGCAAGGGAGGCACUGCUGGUGAUGGAGUUCUGCGAGAAGUCGCUGGUUUCUGUGUUGGAGGACAGGGGGGCAGCCUACUUUGAAGAGGAGAAGGUGGCAUUGAUCUUCCGAGAUGUUUGCAAUGCCGUCUUCGCGAUGCACUGCCAGACGCCGCCUCUUGCUCACAGGGACCUAAAGGCUGAAAAUGUUCUUCUUGGUGCUGAUGGGGCCUGGAAACUAUGUGAUUUUGGUAGUGUGUCGACAAAUCAUAAAUGCUUCAACAAACCUGAGGAGAUGGGCAUCGAAGAGGAUAACAUUAGGAAGCACACCACUCCUGCAUAUAGAGCUCCUGAGAUGUGGGACUUGUACAGGAGGGAGGUUAUCAGUGAGAAAGUAGAUAUAUGGGCUCUUGGAUGUCUCUUGUAUAGAAUCUGCUACUUCAAAUCAGCAUUUGAUGGUGAAUCAAAGCUUCAGAUACUUAACGGGAAUUACCGUAUCCCAGAAUUGCCAAAGUACAGUUCUUCCAUUACAACUCUGAUCAAAGACAUGCUUAAUUCUUCUCCAGAUGCCAGACCGGACAUUACACAGGUGUGGUUCCGUGUUAAUGAGUUACUUCCAUUGGAGCUGCAAAAGGAUUUACCUGAUGGAUCCCCGUCUGGGUCAGCAUUUGAAUCUCAUACUGCUAUCGAUGAAGCACCAAGGAGACCAUCUCAAAGGAGUGCUGCUUCAUCAUCAAGAGGAGACCUGAGGAGUACCUCUCCUAGUCAUUUUUCCAACCUGAUGGCACAAGAUCCUCCGAAAGCUAUGGAGAACAGGGGUCCUAUGGGUGCAUUCUGGUCAACUCAACAUGCUCAGGAGCUAGCUUUUGCUGAUGACAAGGAACCAGCUUUUGAUCAAGAGCCCAUUAGCCAAGUCACCUCAAAGCAAUCACAAACUAAGAACCAGAACACACCAGUUCAUAAUUCAUCUCGGAAAUCUCUGUCUGCAUCAGUUGAUAGUUCUCCUGGAGAUUUUGAAAUUAGGUUUUCUGCAAAUGGCUCGGAGUCUGGGUUAGAGAAAACCAAAACAGAAAAUAAAGCCAGCAUACAAGCUAUGGCCUUCAACUCAUUCAUGGCAGACUUUGAUAACAUCAAAAUGAACUCACAAAACAAUGCUGACAAUGUAAACUUGCUUAGCAAGUUGAAAGAAUGUCAACUGGAAGCAGAAGUUACUUUACUGAAGGAACAAUUAAAGAUAGCAAACCUGGAGAAGGAAGAAAUUUCAUUGAAGUUUGAUAAGUUGUCUGCCAUUUGUUCUUCUCAGAGGCGAGAGAUACAAGAGCUUAAGCAAGCCCUAGCUACCGCUUCUGUUACGCCGCCAGCUAAGCAGUUCAGAGAACAUUCGAAGGUUGAACUCUCCCCACCCAGCACAAGCCUUGAUACUCCGCCGAGGGAGAAGAUUGAAGGAACCCCUCCAGAGCUCCGGCAAGGCCUAUUUACUUCAAGGCCAGGGACACCGAGCCCUGACCCAAAACCAUGGUCAGGUUUUCCUGAAGAGCCAAAACCUCAAGCAGCUGUGAAGAGUGCCCACCCCAGGUCAGUCCGAACUCUGCGGGCAUCAAACAGCAACAAAGCCAGCUCACUUGGACAAUCGAAUGUAAGUUCUAGCGCCGAUCCAUUUGCCUUUGGUCAAGAUAGCUUUAAGGCUGCUCCUUCUGGAACCGUACAUCCCAAGUUAUCGAACAUGGGGAAUACUGCUCAGCUCCUCAAUAAUCAGACUGCUGAAGAAAAGAAAGAUGGAUCGUACCAACCAGCUGGAUGGACCGGGUUUUGAUUGUGCUACACCAAUUUACAGUGAUACUAUAUGCCAAAAGAGUCAAAGAGUACAUAUGGUCUUGGUGGUGUGGCAGACUGAAGAGCCACCGAGGAAUGCCUGCACUUAUGGAGAUCAUGAGCAUCAGCGACAGUUGAUGCAUUAAGUGCAAUGCUGCUCCAGCUGGCAGUGAUGGAUGCUUCAGUUGAUCCUCUGUUCCAUAGAACCAUAGCAAUUCUACCUCCACUAAGUGGACCAGCCCAAACCUAAGCACAUGAUUAUGGCUUAUAAAUAAGUGUUAAAUAUCACCGCUUUUGCUUGUAUAGUUUAUCUUACUUCUUGGUCUCCAUCUUGUUGCACUUUGUGCCCUUGUACCCCAAGCUCAUCUGUUCAUAAUCAUGUAAGCUUAGGAUCGUAUCAUCUCUAAUUUGGAGAAAUGAAGUAAUGAUCGGUGCGUUUU